UCGAGGUAUAUGACAACAAUUUGUUGUUUCCUCCCACCCUUUGUUUACAUCUGUAAUCAUUUUAUACUUCGGCGAGGCGCUCUAGGGCUGUUGGCUAAUUGCGAACAAGAUCUCGCCGAAGGACAAAACAUCUAAAUCAUCUACAACAAAUUUUCUAUCAUAAUUUAUAA
rnacentral:misc_RNA from 1 species